rnacentral:rRNA from 1 species
AGUGAACGCUGGCGGUAGGCCUAACACAUGCAAGUCGAACGGCAGCACAGUAAGAGCUUGCUCUUACGGGUGGCGAGUGGCGGACGGGUGAGGAAUACAUCGGAAUCUACUUUUUCGUGGGGGAUAACGUAGGGAAACUUACGCUAAUACCGCAUACGACCUACGGGUGAAAGCAGGGGAUCUUCGGACCUUGCGCGAUUGAAUGAGCCGAUGUCGGAUUAGCUAGUUGGCGGGGUAAAGGCCCACCAAGGCGACGAUCCGUAGCUGGUCUGAGAGGAUGAUCAGCCACACUGGAACUGAGACACGGUCCAGACUCCUACGGGAGGCAGCAGUGGGGAAUAUUGGACAAUGGGCGCAAGCCUGAUCCAGCCAUACCGCGUGGGUGAAGAAGGCCUUCGGGUUGUAAAGCCCUUUUGUUGGGAAAGAAAAGCAGCAGGUUAAUACCCCGCUGUUCUGACGGUACGCAAAGAAUAAGCACCGGCUAACUUCGU